CCUACGGGAGGCAGCAGUGGGGAAUAUUGCACAAUGGGCGCAAGCCUGAUGCAGCCAUGCCGCGUGUGUGAAGAAGGCCUUCGGGUUGUAAAGCACUUUCAGCGGGGAGGAAGGCGUUAAGGUUAAUAACCUUGGCGAUUGACGUUACCCGCAGAAGAAGCACCGGCUAACUCCGUGCCAGCAGCCGCGGUAAUACGAGGGUGCAAGCGUUAAUCGGAAUUACUGGGCGUAAAGCGCACGCAGGCGGUCUGUCAAGUCGGAUGUGAAAUCCCCGGGCUCAACCUGGGAACUGCAUUCGGAACUGGCAGGCUAGAGUCUUGUAGAGGGGGGUAGAAUUCCAGGUGUAGCGGUGAAAUGCGUAGAGAUCUGGAGGAAUACCGGUGGCGAAGGCGGCCCCCUGGACAAAGACUGACGCUCAGGUGCGAAAGCGUGGGGAGCAAACAGGAUUAGAUACCCGGGUAGUC
rnacentral:rRNA from 1 species